CUUUCGUUUAAUUUGAUUAAAAUACCAAAACCUUCUUCUCUCUCACACGAUGGAACCAAAGGAAGAAAUCAGACAUCCAUCUUCUUCCUCUGAUUUCUUCUUCCUCUAAUUCCUUUUGCAUUCUUCCUCUGAAUUCUUCCUCUGAUUUUCGAAAGAAGAACAACAGUUGGCCGUCUUCUCUGUCUUCGAUUUUCGAAGGAAGUGCAACAAUGGCUCUUGCUCCUUGAAUUUGAUUUUCGAAGAACAGAACCCAUCUUUUUCCCUUUGAUUUCUGGUAGUAAUACACAAAGAACAGCAUCAGGAUUUUAUCCCAUUGAAAUGGCAGCAUCACAGUAGCAGCCGAAACCCUUUCCUUUGAUCUAAAUUCUGCCGCAAACCAAGGAAGCCAAUACCAACCUUAUUUCUAUUGAUUUUGCAUCAAAUUCAAAUAACCUUAUUUCCUGUUCUUGAUUUCUGCCGCAAACAGAGACGAUUUCUCGGCGGAACCGUUCUAGCUGAUAUCUGUGAAUUGAACCCAACUCUUUGAAGCGUCGUCUUUGUUUGAUCACAGAUCGGGACCGGUCGGGAACGAUGGGUUAGCGGUGUUGAAUAACGUUCCAAGGAUGUAUAUUGAGCUGAGCACGUGGGAAUCUGUAGUUUUGUAUAAGGUUUUUGGAUAAAUGUAUAUUAGUCUUGGUUGUGUUGGUUAUAUUCAACUCGAAGUGAAUUGUAUGAUUACUUGUGUUUUAGUUAGAUGUUUGGUUUGAGAA